GUUCUUUUGGGGGGGGGUUAACAGAGUUUUGAGUUGUUUAUUCCCGACCCUAAGAUGAGCUCAUAUUCCACAUCUCCAGGUAAAUCCCUCAGUACCGGAACUUUCUGUCUGCUUCCCUUUCUCAGGUCAAGCGCUCCUUUCCUGACUUUGAUCCAACUGUCAACUCCAACAAGAAGCUUUGCUACCAGCCUCCCUGUGGGAGGAGACAUUGCGGGCGGCCUCCCAGCAAGUCAAUCCUUCUCCUGAGGCUCCAGACAAAGACACCAUUGUCUUCUCCGCUUGAGUCAGGCUGCGGUUUGUUUGCCUUCUGGCCUCUCUCAAUGGAGCCCCUGAUGUAAGAUAAGGUGAGUCUGUCCUGUAACCCUGUCCCUGAUACUGGACGAAAGCAAUCAUCUCUGUCAAGCAUACAGAAGAUAGUGUUGGCUCCUCACCCAGAUCAACUUCUUGGGCUGAUGCCUAACCCCAGUGGCCAUGUGAGCUGGCCGCUAACAGUUCCUGGGUGUCCCCUUCUCCAAGGAUUGAGCACUAGCAACUAACUUUCCCAACGCCGGGAAUAAAAUGUUUUCAGUA